CAGAAAAUAGUUUAAGCAGAAUCUUAGCUUUGGGAGUUAAGGGCAGGGGUUAAAGUCCCCUUUUUCUGA
rnacentral:tRNA from 2 species